rnacentral:rRNA from 1 species
CGUAAAGCUCUGUUGUUAGGGAAGAACAAGUACCGUUCGAAUAGGGCGGUACCUUGACGGUACCUAACCAGAAAGCCACGGCUAACUACGUGCCAGCAGCCGCGGUAAUACGUAGGUGGCAAGCGUUGUCCGGAAUUAUUGGGCGUAAAGGGCUCGCAGGCGGUUCCUUAAGUCUGAUGUGAAAGCCCCCGGCUCAACCGGGGAGGGUCAUUGGAAACUGGGGAACUUGAGUGCAGAAGAGGAGAGUGGAAUUCCACGUGUAGCGGUGAAAUGCGUAGAGAUGUGGAGGAACACCAGUGGCGAAGGCGACUCUCUGGUCUGUAACUGACGCUGAGGAGCGAAAGCGUGGGGAGCGAACAGGAUUAGAUACCCUGGUAGUCCACGCCGUAAACGAUGAGUGCUAAGUGUUAGGGGGUUUCC